rnacentral:rRNA from 1 species
UACAGAGGGUGCAAGCGUUAAUCGGAAUUACUGGGCGUAAAGCGCAUGUAGGUGGAUAGAUAAGUUUGAUGUGAAAGCCCUAGGCUUAACCUGGGAAUGGCGUUGAAGACUGUUUAUCUAGAGUUUGACAGAGGGUCGUGGAAUUUCCGGUGUAGCGGUGAAAUGCGUAGAGAAUCGGAAAGAACACCAGUGGCGAAGGCGGCGACCUGGGUCUAAACUGACACUGAGGUGCGAAAGCGUGGGGAGCAAACAGG